GGGGCGGGGUCUUCGUGGCGCGCGAGGCUCUGAGGCGAGCGGGGAUGCUGCUGAAGCCGCCGCCGGUCGAGGCCCGGCUGGGGCCUGCUCCUGCCCCUAGAGCCGCCGCCAGCGGCCGGCCCCGCUGCUGAGGCGAACGGGCGGGCUCCGUGAGGGACGGCGGUGGCGGCUGCGCGCUGGGCCUGGCUCCCGGGACCGCCCGCGGUGUCACCGGUGCCCCGACGCCGCGCUGGGCGGCCUGAACUGGAGGAGGCGGAGACGAUAUGAUACUGUCACACCUACCACGAGAGGCUGCAAGCAGGUUUCAGAAAUGAGGGCUGGACGUGUUUAAUACGACCUCCAACUUACCUCACGCUCGAUCUCCGCACUACUCCAUGUGGAAUUUCUGUGCUGGAAUUUGCAAGAGCAUGCUGGGAAACUUGUGGAAGAAGAAUUGUUAUCUUAUUGCUGUGCUAGAUAUUUAGAUACUGCUAAACACAUGGAUAUUACUUCGAUUUGUAAUGACAGUUGGAUAGGAAACCAUCUUUGUUUGUGUUCCUUCUGCAGUUUGGGCUGGAUUUGUCUUUGCUCUGGUAGAUUUCCAUGUAUGGGAGUUGCACGCUUCAACUUUGACUCAGCAGCACUUUCUAGUAAGCACAGCAAAACUCUGCCCAUGUUGUAUCAGAGGAAUAUUUGGACAAAGAGAGGUCAAAGUUAUAUAAGAGAAUUUUUGGUUUAUGUUACGAGGAAUCUUCAGUCCACCAAGUUUAAGGAGAAUUGGCAUACCAAGAAGUGGUCAGAAUUGGGCUAAAAUUGCUGCCUUACUUUGCAACAAAGGGAAAAGAAUACAGCAAGCAACUCCAGAGUCUCCCUGCCUUCUUUGAUACACUCAGACCAGCGACCUCAUGGAGAAUCCCUGCCCUGCCUGCUCUUCACCACAGUGCUUGUUGGACAUCUUGUUGUCUUAGGCCUCUCAGCUUUCGUCUUUUGUGGAAGAGAAGCUGCCAUUGAGCAGCAGGUCUCAUUGUGCACAUGUGCAGGCUUUUGUAAUCAGCGAAGACUCAAUCCGAGAGUCACGUGGCCCCCAGAGAACCAUUCUCUUGAGUGAAGGACAGUCAAAAAGAUUUCUUAGAGGAGAGGGAAGAACACACAGAAGCACUCUCUUGGAGAAAGAUGCAAGUGCCCCAGCAAUGAAAGAGUUUACUGGUGCCGGUCAUACAUGAGCUUUGCCUUAUAGCUAUAUGCCAAAGCAGCAUUUAAGCAAAGAGAUGGGACCAACGAUAGCAAAUGCUGACAAAGAGAAAAGGUGGACAAGCAUUUUUUUGUGAUUAAUACCUAAAGGAUGGGAGGAAACAAGGAAGCAAAAAUGCAGUUUAGCGGACUCUUGAUAUCACCAGAAACUGCUACAGUAAGAGGUGUUCUGCCAUGGAUAACUAAGAUUAAUUGCCAUGGCUGAAGUUGAAGAGACCAGAAAAACAUAAGCAAGCUGAAGUAAUAAAAUCAAAUGGAACCAACUGAGAGCUGUCUCCCUCUGCCAAAAAGGGAAAGCCCAUUCCUCCUGGCGAGGAAGGAUCACCAUUAUUAGUGAUCCGAAUAACAGAUCACCAACAUAUAACAGAAGGGGGAUGGAUUUUACUAUGCCUCCAUGAACGAGUGCUGGCUGGCAAAGUUAUUAUGUCCCAGUGGAGACCCUUAGGCAAGAUGGAGGAGUUCAGAUACGCAGCCUGCCAGAAGGACAUCACCCGGGAGGGGUUGCCAGCCUUGAACUAUAGGCGCUGGCAUUCAGAACCUCGGGGAACGACUGUAUGCUGCCAUGAAGAACUCCAGGCUACCACCCCCCUCAGGGCAGUGUCAUGUUGUCAAGAGCGACCAGGAGAAUCCAAACGGCAGCGGAAAGGUUCUCUGCCUGGUUCCCAUGAGGAGCCUUCGGCCACGGGAAGGUCGGCAGCGUCCUUACUGGACUUGAUAACGUUUUGAGGGCUGGCAACUCGAAGAGGAGCAGCUCAGCCCGUUUUGUUGACUUCAGUGAUGCUGUUUUGAGGAAGCAUGUAAGUACAGAAGGGGUCUGGGAGGGUUUUCAAACAAGAUGGGAAAGAGCAAGGAAGAUUUGAGAGUGAAAGGGGCUAAUGCACAAGGAGUAGUAAAAUACUGUGACUGAACACAAGGUUCCUCCCCAGUGCAGGUCUCUGUGUGCACCCUCGCUCUUGCAGAUGCAGACACCCUGGAGCCGUAGGGAAUCAGGCAAGCAGGCCCACAGGUGGGCUCUGGGCACAGCGGUGUGCAGAGCGCAUACAUCCUACAUAUCUACAUCCCUCUAACUGGCUCCCUGUCACUCUAUCCAGCUCUUCAUCAUCCUGUUCCUCUCCCUAUCCCACUACCUGCCUGCUGUCCUGUCUGGCUCCCCAUGCAUCUGCCGCUCUCAUCUGUCUCUCUGUACCUUUCUGCCUUCCCAGCCAUCUGUCCACCUCUCCAGCCUUCUCUUUCUUUUUCCGUCCCUCUGUUCAGCUCACCAUCCAUCUAUUUGUCUCCCUGUCUCUCUUUUCCCCUGUUUUGUCCUAUCUCUCUGUCUGAAUUCCCCUCCCUCUUUUUUUCCCUCCACCUUUCUGGCCAGCUCAUCAUCCUCAUUUUCUUUCCAUCGCUCCGACUGGCUCUCUGUCCCUCUCUUCCCAGCCCCGUUUCUCUGUCCAGUUCUCCCCCCUUCUCUUUUGCUCCCUGUCCUUUUGCCCGCCUCCCCUUCCCUCCUUACCCCUCUCUGUUCUUCUGCCCACCUCCCCUUCCCUCUUUUUCUCUCUUCUGCUCCCUGGUCCUCUGUGCAGCCCUCCCUCCGUGUGGCCCUCUCUCCCUCUCUUUCCAUUCCUUUGUCUAGCGCCCUGACCCUGGGGCCAGAUCUCUAUCCUUCUCUUUCUCCCUCUAUCCCUCUGCCAAGCUCUCUACCCCUCUUUUCUUCUGCCCCCUGUCCCCGUGUACAGCUGGAGGUCUGUCAUUGCUGUGUGUUUUGGCUGGUGUGGCCGGUGCCAAGAGGCAGUUGGCGCUCAGCAGAGCUGGUGAUCAGCAGCGCCCAGAGGGUGCCGUCGAUUGGCCUGGUUCGGGUCACAUCAGACACCUCCGCAGUGGCUCUGCCUGCAGAGGCGCGGGGCUGUGGGUGUGCAGCGGGGGAGCACUAGUGAGCUAGAGAUGCCGUGGGGUGUGUAGUCGACGGGGAAGGUGUCGUAGAGGCAGAGAGCAGCAGAGGCUCCGAGUCCUCGGGUGUUAGGACAGGCGCUCGCAGUAGGGCAGUCUGGAGCUGCUGUUGUUGUCUGUCCUACUCGUCAGCACAGCCAGGGCUGCUGCGCGGUGCAGCUUGAGUCGUGAUCGCGAUGCUGUUUGUAAUUUAUAGCUGCGUGUAAAUAAAUCCGUUCCUUGCAGAGGAAGGCUGUAUGCAGGUGCAAUCCUCCUGGUCCCAGUGUUGUAAAGCUGCAUUUAAUGAAAUACGAGCGCUCUCUGCCAGGGGGCAUGUGGUGGUGGAUGCCUGUAUUCCUCUGGACUCUUCUUAGCACAGUUAUCGUGAGCAAUGAAUGCAUGAUUUCAGUAACUUGCAAAAUGCAGCCUUGCCCUCAAAGCCCAAGGGACAGAAUUAAGGGCCUGUCUGUCAGCUAACAAAUAAAGAAGAUGGAGCAGCCUAUCCACAUUCCACAUAGGAGAACGGACAUAGGAGAACUGAUAUAUGAUAAAUGUAAACGUGCUAGAUCUCUGGUACGUCCCAGGCAUUUGUUUAGAUCUGCGCAUUCAGAUCUAUAGUUCCACAUUCGGAACAUGGCGUUUGCCUGGUGUCUAAUUCCUUUGCGGAGUGUAGAAGCCACUGUGUACAGCUGCCAACCUCUACGACAGGUUAUCAGAGAGAAUGAGAAUGCUGCAUUUCAACUCAUGACUGCAAAAGAGGCUCCUUUAUGUCCAGUUCCAGAAUUAUGACCUACUUCAUCAUUCUGCUUUGACAUUAUUUCUUAGCGGGAAUGGUAGCAUUUUAACUGUGCCGUGGUUGACACCAGUAAUUUAUAGGCCAGCGCAGUUAUGCUGUACCUUUCUUUGAUGUGCAUUUCAUCUUUGUAUCAAGCUUCUGGGAAAAUAAAUGGUACAGAAUUCCAGAAGGUGUGCCUUUAAAUAGGCAGUAAAUCUAGAAGCAUGUCUGAAUUCCAGAUGGCUUGUAACUUCAUAUUUGUCUUCAGCGUAUACUUUUCUGUCGCUCUUAUUCCAGGCUUACCUACAACAAUCAGUAUUACUGAGGUGUAUUGUGUUUCACAGGCAGCGAUAUUUUCAAUAAGGGCAUGAGAACUCCUGCUCUGAAAUGGACUUCAUAAUCAAUAACCACAUGAUCCAUGCUCUGGGCUGGUCACUUUAGGCCUUUGUGCAGAGUAUUCUUUCUAGUCACACUCCCCGUGUGAUCCCCUCCUUCCACUGUUUUCCGAAGGGAUUGGAAAUGCUUCUGGUAAGUCCUGUAGUUUCCUAAAUUUUCCACUGUGUCCUUGCUGAUAUUGGAUACCAUUAUAGCAGGGAGAGGCAGCCUACAUAUAUGCACGGAACAUUAGAUGGGCCAAAAAGGUAACUUCUUUGUGCCACAAUCUACUUUAGAGAGUUUAAUUUUGACCUAGGGCUUGGGUCUCACUACAUCCAGCGGAAGAAAUGUAAGCCGAAGGGUCGCAGUAAAUAACUGCUUGUCUAGGUCUGUUACCUAGCAACACAUUGUCAGAGUUUUUUAUGAACAGUCAUACUCGAUCAAGUGCAUAUUCAUUCCGUGAAUAUUACUGCAAGAGUGCGUAUGUUACUGAUCCUUUAAAGCAAGUCCAUGGCACUGGCGGGGUAGCGUGUGUUCUGAAGACUAAAUCCAAGAGCAACUCAUUUUGAUGCUGUUCUCUUAUAUGAAAGCACUUAGAGCAGAUUAAAACAUUUAUCGUCCUAUUUUGUUUAUUGAAUGGACCGUGAGACUCGGAAAAACCUGCAGCAAAGGAGACACGGUAGUCAGUUUCCUUGGAGAAGGUGUCUUGUCCUGUACUUUAGGGCUUCCUGUACAUUUUGACAGACAGUAGUGAAUGACUGGUCUCCUUUGAAACCCUGGGCAGCAGAAGGUUCUGACUGGAAGGCAAAAUGUUUCUUGCAGCCGGGUUUGAAGAAGCUGGCUACCAGUCAAAAGAAAUGACCGGCUACCAAUCAAAAGUAAUGACCAAUCUGUGGAGUUACUGGAAGUUUUUAAAAGACAGUCAUCACCUUUUAUGGAAGGUGAUGCACUUUCGUUACUAAUCCCUGUAGCAGUCGAACCAGGUAAGUGAUACGUAGGAGGUCAAGCCCAUUAGUCUUUUUCACACAAUAAUAGCCUUUAGGCUGUGAUCACUCUUAUAAAAGUCCAGAUAUUUUAGAAACUGAACAAACCUUUUCAGCUUGUUUCCUGUAGUACCGCAAAAGGUGAUCAGAAUACUAAUGUUUUCAUGCUUUAAUGUGGUAGACAUGCGCUGUGCAAACAUCUCUUACUGUUUAAUAAUAAAAACUGAGCGGUCAGUCGAGACGCUAGUGCA